GCAACAAUCCCGGAGUCUUUUAUUAAUUUAUAUCAAUUUUAUGUUUUUUAAGGAUCCGUAUUCGCGGCAUACACAUCAUUUGGCAUUGAUUCUGCGUAUAUAAUCACCGCAUCAGUCAUGUCAGCUCCGACCGCGUUAAGUUUUUCCAAGUUGAUUUUCCCAGAAACACAAAAAUCUAAGAACAACGUUGAAGAAAUCGCUUCUAAAAAGUACGUUUAUAAUAUAGUGGGUGUAUAUACUUUAUCCGAAAGAGUUUUAAAAAUGUAUUCUAAGAUAAUUCUAAAAAAAACUACUCGAA